UACGUAGGGACCGAGCGUUGUCCGGAAUCAUUGGGCGUAAAGAGCGUGUAGGCGGCUUGCUAAGUCUUGCGUGAAAUCUCGGGGCUCAACCCCGAGCGGUCGUGGGAAACUGGCAGGCUAGAGUGCGGGAGAGGAGAAUGGAAUUUCUGGUGUAGCGGUGAAAUGCGCAGAUAUCAGGAAGAACACCCGUGGCGAAGGCGGUUCUCUGGAACGCAACUGACGCUGAGACGCGAAAGCGUGGGGAGCAAACAGG
rnacentral:rRNA from 1 species